GAUGAACGCUGGCGGCGUGCCUAAUACAUGCAAGUCGAGCGAACAGACGAGGAGCUUGCUCCUCUGACGUUAGCGGAGGACGGGUGUGUCACACGUGGAUAACCUACCUAUAAGACUGGGAUAACUUCGGGAAACCGGAGCUAAUACCGGAUAAUAUAUUGAACCGCAUGGUUCAAUAGUGAAAGACGGUUUUGCUGUCUCUUAUAGCUGGAUCCGCGCCGCAUUAGCUAGUUGGUAAGGUAACGGCUUACCAAGGCAACGAUGCGUAGCCGACCUGAGAGGGUGAUCGGCCACACUGGAACUGAGACACGGUCCAGACUCCUACGGGAGGCAGCAGUAGGGAAUCUUCCGCAAUUGGCGAAAGCCUGACAGAGCAACGCCGCGUGAGUGAUGAAGGUCUUCGGAUCGUAAAACUCUGUUAUUAGGGAAGAACAAAUGUGUAAGUAACUAUGCACGUCUUGACGGUACCUAGUCAGAAAGCCACGGCUAACUACGUG
rnacentral:rRNA from 1 species